UUAGCGUUAUAGGAAUGGUUAUGUAUUGUACUGCAGGGAUGGAUCGGAAGUCUCCAAAAAUUGAGGUGGUGGUGGCAGCUGCAGAGAGGUAUUUGGGUGUACGAGACUUGACAGCAGAAUAGUUACAGGGUGUGUUAAGUGGUGUUGUCCCAUCCUAUCCUUUCAGGAUGAUGGCAUGAGGUAGGAAUAAAUACAUGUAAUAAGGGGAGUAGCGUGGUGGUAAUUUUAUUUUAGAUCAUUUUGAAAUUAGUGAGUGUAGUGUUAGAUGGUAGGGUAUUUAUUUAGUACAUGUUUAUUUAAUUGUUUUAUAUAUUAUUAUUAUUUUCAAGCAAAGUAUAAGGCAGUUGUACUCCAGUCUAGUAGGUGGCGGUAAUGCAACAAAUUGGAUGCCAACCCCCGUUAAAUCUCAUAGAAGAAAAAUGGGCGUGUCUAGAGGGGCUGCUGUUGGUCUAGGAUAUUGGGAGCGCAGUUCAAUCGAAACUUUGAAGACAAUAUGUUGAAUCUUAUUUUAGGUGCUGUUUUGUAGUGCAUGCUUCAUCGAAGAGAGGUGGCAAAUCGCGUGCUAACAAUUGAUCCGUGUUUGGAGACGCAGAUUGUCAAUGCUUUAACAUGGAAAGGUGGCAGUGUGGGAAGCCUAACCCUAUAAAAGGUGUAGUAAUUUAACCUUUUGUUUUUUGAAAAUGAUUUCUCGCUGAUGUAUGUUUACAAAACCAUACAAACAGUGAUGUGUUAACGUAUAGAGCAUGCGUUGGUGGCUCUUAAAAAAACUCCCCCUGCCAGAAGAUACUAUGUCAAUAGGCGCUAAAGGAAGUGUGCGUCUAUGAAUGGGCCACUGUUUGGUAGCACAGAGAAUUUGACCAACCGUAACUUGUCGACACUUUUAAAGACAACCAAUGUCUUCUAAACAUCCAUGUCUAGUUGCAGAGGGUUUGUUUUCAUUUAGAAAAUGCUUUAUUAAAUAUUUUGAUCCAAAAAGAAAAAUUUGCACAAUUUUUAUUUGACCUUUAUUUAACUAGGCAAGUCAGUUACGAACAAAUUCUUAUUUUCAAUGACUGCCUAGGAACAGUGGGUUAACUGCCUUGUUCAGGGGCAGAAUGACAGACUUACCUUGUUAGCUCAGGGACUCGAUCUUGCAACCUUUCGGUUACAAGUCCGACGCUCUAACCACUAGGCUACCUGCCGCCCCAUUCAUACACCAG
rnacentral:lncRNA from 1 species